GACGAACGCUGGCGGCGUGCCUAACACAUGCAAGUCGAGCGAAUGAAGUUCCUUCGGGAAUGGAUUUAGCGGCGGACGGGUGAGUAACACGUGGGCAACCUGCCUCAUAGAGGGGAAUAGCCUUCCGAAAGGGAGAUUAAUACCGCAUAAGAUUGUAGUACCGCAUGGUACAGCAAUUAAAGGAGCAAUCCGCUAUGAGGUGGGCCCGCGGCGCAUUAGCUAGUUGGUGAGGUAACGGCUCAACAAGGCGACGAUGCGUAGCCGACCUGAGAGGGUGAUCGGACACAUUGGGACUAAGACACGGCCCAGACUCCUACGGGAGGCAGCAGUGGGGAAUAUUGCACAAUGGGGGAAACCCUGAUGCAGCAACGCCGCGUGAGUGAUGACGGCCUUCGGGUUGUAAAGCUCUGUCUUCAGGGACGAUAAUGACGGUACCUGAGGAGGAAGCCACGGCUAACUACGUGCCAGCCGCCGCCGUAA
rnacentral:rRNA from 1 species